CUAUUGUUACAGGAUUUAAAUGUGGAAUAAGGUUAUGGCACCUUGGAAAGACAAAUACUAGUAAGGCAGUUUAUCACUGGAUCCUUUGCAUCUUAUGAAAAUGUGAGAAUGUAAAGGGUCUGAAUUUUCUAGACAAGCUUUCAAAUAAUUAAAAAGUAGUAGAAGCCUUUCCAACAGCCUCCAAACCUGAGUAUCAUAGCCCACAACUAUAGGGACACUCCACAUCAGGGUCUAUGUGAAUUGCUCUUCUGGUGCUGUGCAGUACACUGCUGUGCAGACAUAGAUGCUGGACCUCCAUAGAGAAGGGGCAUUUGAAUAACUGCUCCACUUCAUGCCACCCGUUAGUAAGCACAUAGGGAAAAAAGAGAGAGAGAGAGGAAGAAAGAUAAAGAAAGCAAAAAAGAAAGUGAGAGUCCAGAGGGGCGGAAGGAGACGGGAAAGGAGUAAGGAAGGAAGAAAGAAGGAAGGACGGAAGGGAGGGAGGGAGGCAGGCAGGCAGAGGGCGAGCACUGUUCUGUGACUGAGCAUUGGAAGUAGAAAAGAUUUGAAUCCAGUUAAUCUUUGGGCCAGCCAUGCCUCCAGCCGCAAGUCCAUAAACAAGGCCAUUAAAUGGUCUCUGCAAGAAGCCAAAGUCCAGAUUCCACCUGUUACAAACACACAGGCCUUUGAUGGCUGGCAAACAGGAAUGAGAUUAAGAGAAGGCAGACUGACUACACAAGGAUUUCAAAAGCAUAGGUCUGGAGGACAAUAGGGGAAAGUAAAAAUGAUGAGGAGGGGUGGAGAAAAGACAGGAACAAAAGGGAGGGCAUCCUAGUUAUCCACAGUUGUAUGGGAAGAUGCAGUCAUUCUGUCUUAAUCUGACUGGCUCAUUUUUUCAAAUCAUUGCUAUUCUCCCAUAAAUCCCAGCUGCAUGAGAGAGAGAAGAUCAUCAUAGAACUGUAAGCCCUGAAAUAGAAAAGUGGCUGGCCUAGGGAGUUUGAAAAAUUGUCAAACUUAGAAGAGAGAAUAUGGAAUAGAUGCUCUCAUGUUCCUCAGAGCCCUGUGCGAUAUUACAGAAUAAUUCACUGUCUUUGUGAAGCUACUGCCCCAAAUAGAGUAAAAUACUAUAUAUCAGCUUGAUAAAAUCACAGAUAUGGGUAUAUUUGGAGGUAAAUGUUAUAAUAUGCUAAUAACUGAAAUUAUCCUUUAAUAGACACUAUUCACUUCAAUGCAGAUUAACAAGUCCUGCCAAUUAUUACAUAUUUCCUAUUUCAAUUCAUUCAUUUUCUUGAUCCUCGGUGCUGUUUAGAAUACUCUGAGGUAAAACAUUUGUAUAAUGUGUAUAUAUACAUAUGUGUGUAUAGUCAUAUACAUAUAUACAGUGUCUGACUGUACAUACACACACACCCCUUAUAUCACAUUUCGCUAUAUUCGACUUUGUAGUUAUUUCAUUUCUUACACAUUUUUGCAAAUUGAAGAUUUGUGGCAACCCUGCAUAGAGAAAGUCUAUUGGUGCCAUUUUUCCAAGCCCAUAUCUGUGUCACAUUUUGGUAAGUCUAGCACUAUUGUAUUCUGUCAGUUAUGGUGACCUGUGAUGAGUGAUCUUUGAUGGUACUAUUGUAACAUUUUGGGGUACCACAAAUGACUCCCAUAUGAGACAGGGAACUUAACUAAUUAAUGUUAAGUGUGUUCUGACUAAUCUGACCACCGGCUAUUGUCUUGUCUUUCUCCCCUUCUUCAGAUCUUUCUAUUCCUUAAGACACAACAAUAUUGAAAUUAGGCAAUUUCAUAACCUUGCGAUGACCUCUAAGUGUUCAGGUGAAAGACAGAGUCACCCAUCUCUCAUUUUAAAUUGAAAGCUGAAUGAUUAAGCUUAGUGAGAAAGGAUAUUGAAAAUCCAGAUAGGAUAAAAGCUAGGUCUCUUGUAUCAAACAGCCAAAUUAUGAAUGCAACAGAAAAGUUCUUAAAGGAAAUUAAAAGUGCUACUCCAGUGAACACAAAAAUGAUCAGAAAGCAAAAUAGCCUUAUUGCUGAUGUGGAGAAAGUUUGAAUGGUCUGGGUAAAUCAAACCAGCCAGAAGCCCAAACCAAAUUCAGAGAAAGGCCCUCACUCCCUUUAAUUCUAAAAGGCUGAGAGAGGUAGGAAGCUAUAGAAGAAAAGUUCAAAGCCAGCAGAGGUUGGUUUAUGAAGUUUAAGGAAAGAAGCCAUCCCCAAAACAUAAAAGUGUCAGGUGAAUCAGCAAGUACUGAUGGAGAAGCUAUAAGUUAUCGAGAGGAUCUAGCUAAGAUCAUUUAUCAAAUUAGCUGCAUUAAAUCACCAAUUUUUAAUAGAUGAAACAACCUUCUAUUAGAAGAAGGUCUUUCAUAGCUAGAGAGGAAAAGUCAGAGCUUGGCUUCAACCCUUCAAAGGUCAGGAUGAUUCUCUUGCUAGGGGCUAAUGUACCUGGUGACUUUAAGUUGAAGCCAAUGGUCAUUCACCGUUCUGAACAUUUUAGUGCCCUCAAAAAUGAUGGUAAACUUACUCUGCCUGUGCUCCAUGUAUGAAGCAACAAGGCACAGGUGACAGCACAGCUGUAUACAGCACGGUGUACUGAUGACUAUUUUAAGCACAAUGUGGAGAGGUAUUAUUCAGAAAAAAAAAAUCAAUUCAAAAGCUCUGUUGGAAAUUAGCAAAGAGACUAAUGAUAUUUCCACGUCUGCCAACACAACAUUGAUUGUGCAGCCAUGGAUCAAGAAGUAAUUUUGAAUUUGAAGUCUUAUUACUUUAAAAAAACCACACUUUAUAAGGCUUAACUGCCAUUGAUAGUGAUUUCUCUGAUAGAUCUGGGCAAAGCAAACUGAAAGUCUUCUGGAAAGGCUUUCAGAUUCCAUUAAGAACAUUCCUAAUUCGUGGGAGGAAGUCAAGAGAUCAAAAUUAAUGGAGGUUAGAUGUUGAUUCCAACUCUCAUGGAUAAAUCUGAGGGUUCAAGAUUCCAGUGGAGGGAGGAAGAAACCACAGAUAUGGGGAAAAUAAUAAGAGAACUGGAAUUAAAAGUAGAUCUUGAAUAUGUGACUAAAUUGCUUUGACCUCAUGAUAAAACUUCAAGGCAUGAUGAUUUGCUUCUUAUGGAUGAGCAAAGAAGGUGGUUUCUUGAGAGAUCUAUGCUGGUGAAGAUGCUGUGAACAUUGUUGAAAUGGCAUCAAGGUAUUUAGGAUAUUAUGCGAACUUGUUAACAAAACAGCAGAAUUUGAGAAGACUGGCUCCAGUUUUGAAGAAAGUUCUAUUGUGGGUAAAAUGCUAUCAAAUAUCAUUGUUGCAUGCUACAGACAAAUCUUUUGUAAAAGGAAGAGUGAACUGAUGUGGCAAGCUUCACUGUUGUCUUAUUUUAAGAAAUUGCCACAACCAUCCCAACCUUCAGCAACCACCACCCUGAGCAGUCAGCAUCCAUUAACAUCGAGGCAAGACCCUCCACCAGCAGAGAGAUUACAACUCAGUGAAGGCUCAGAUGAUGAUCAGCAUUUUUUAGCAAUAAUGUAUUUUUACUUAAUAUAUGCACAUUUGUUAGAUAUGGUGCUACUGUACACUUAAUAAACUACAGUAUAGCUUAAAGUAACUUUAAUAUGCACUGGGAAAGCAAAAAAAAAUCCAUGUAACUCACCUUACUGGUAUACUCACUUUAUUACAGUAGUCGGGAACUAAAUCUGCAAUAACUCUGAGGUAUGCCUAUGUGUAAACGUGUGUGAGUGUGAGUGUGUGUGUGUGUACCUCCACAAUUUUCAGUUUGCAGGUAGUAUUCAGAAUGAUUGUUCUAAACUGUAUAUGGUCAGUCAGUAAAUACUGUUUUGUUUUCGGUUUUUGUGUGUGUGUGUGUGUGGUUUGUUUUUGUUUUUUUUUUUUGAGAUGGAGUUUCGCUCUUGUUACCCAGGCUGGAGUGCAAUGGCGUGAUCUCAGCUCACCUCCGCCUCCUGGGUUCAGGCAAUUCUCCUGCCUCAGCCUCCUGAGUAGCUGGGAUUACAGGCACGUGCCACCAUGCCCAGCUAAUUUUUUGUAUUUUUAGUAGAGACGGGGUUUCACCAUGUUGACCAGGAUGGUCUCGAUUUCUUGACCUCGUGAUCCACCCGCCUCGGCCUCACAAAGUGCUGGGAUUACAGGCAUGAGCCACCGCGGCCGGCCAAUACUGUAUCUUAUCUAUCCAUAGCCCACACACCGUGGCUUCUAGAGCUAUUCUUUACGAAGUGCACUCGUUUAGUAAUUCAUUCUGUAGAAGUCUGUGAAUGGUUGAGGAUCUUCUUAAUGUCUGGUAAAUCUUCAUUGUCUUCUCACAGUUGGAGAAGAACAUUUGGAGAACACAAACGGGGAGAACUAUAAAACUGUUAAGAAUCACUGAUGGGCAAGGACAUGGUGUUUGCUCCACCAUCACAGAGGGUGACUGGGAAUCAGUCCUGCCAUCACCGCAUACUAUCUUCAGCUCUUCCCUCUUGGAUAUUGUGGUAUAGGAGAAAGCCUCCCAAUCUUCUGCCUGGGUGAGGACAUGGCCUCCAAGGUUCCAGAAGCCAGAUUGGGAAAGGGGGACACGGGACUUAGGUGGAACAUUCUUUAUGUACAUUUUCCUGUUCAUCCCAUGACUGUGCCUUGAUUCACCCAUUUCAGGGAUGAUUCCUUUCACAACGCUUAGAGAAAAAACUUCCAGACUUCUUCUAGGGUGGGGAUGGCUUAGUGGCCUAAAGUCUUGGAGUAAAAGAAGGCAUCUAAAUUCUCAAACAGAUUCUACCAAAUCUUAAGAAUUCAUCUACAUAUUUAAAAUGUUUAUCAGCAUUUUUGUUAAAUAGUAUUUGACUUUGUAAAUGGUUGUUUUAGGUGAAUUUCAUGGUGAACUGGUUAUAUACAUGCUAGCUCUGGGCCACGGGCUCUUCCUCACACUAUUUCUACUUAUUAGGCAUUACUGUCCACAUUUCCCAGAUGAGAAAACUGAGACACAGAGGAGAGAAAUGACUCUCUGAAUAAUAUUUAACAGAGCUCAACAGAGCUAGGAUUUAAAACCAAUGUUUGCCCAUCUCCAAAGCCCAUUUGCAGUAGCCCAACAAUCUCCAUGAACAUCAAUAAGCUCUAUGGAAAAGGGCCAGCUCCCUAAAGGAGUGCAAAGCUGUGUCGUGCAUAUACACUUGUCAGUGCCUGCUUAGGUGCAGAUCCCUAAGUGUGGGUGGAAAGUGUUUAAGACAUGGGACUUUUAUGAUACUUGGUUCAAACAGUGCCACUUUUCACUGAUUUUUCUUCUUUCUCCCUGCUCAUUCAACAGCGUCUAAUAAACACCUUAUUUCCCUUCUCACUGACUUUCUAUUUAUUCAGUAUUUUCUGCCUAAGAUACCUAUUGUGUUCAGGCGAUCAAUGUCACAGCAUGCACACUGCUUUGUAACACUAGAGACUUUGAACAAUAAAUUUGCUUUGAAGUAAAAAAGUAGUGGGGAUGAGAAGGAUGGGAAGGCUAUACAGAGACAUCACAGAGAAUGAAUGUGUGUGAAUCCGUAAGUUUCCAAGAGAAGCCACAAUAUGUGUCAUGUGGCACUUCUGUUGAAUCAA